GUAAAGGCAAAAGAGAGCUUGAUUGCAAGACAUACAGGUCGAGCAAGGAUGAAAAUCGGACUUAGUGAUCCGGUGGUUCUGCGUGGAAGGGCCAUCGCUCAACGGAUAAAAGCUACCCUGGGGAUAACAGGCUUAUCUCCCCCAAGAGUCCACAUCGACGGGGAGGUUUGGCACCUCGCUGUCGGCUCAUCACAUCCUGGGGCUGUAGUAGGUCCCAAGGGUUGGGCUGUUCGCCCAUUAAAGUGGUACGCGAGCUGGGUUCAGAACGUCGUGAGACAGUUCGGUCCCUAUCCGUCGCAGGCGUAGGAAAUUUGAGAAGACCUGUCCUUAGUA
rnacentral:rRNA from 1 species